AUAUUAAUCAAACUCCGAUCCUUAACGAUCUAAAUUUAUAAAAUUAAAUAUGAUCUUAAGGACUCAUAGCAUUUUAAAUUUGCUAUAAGGGUUUAAUCAGAAAUGAUUAGGCCUCCCGUAUUUGGAAAGGUGUUUAUGCAACUUCAAG
rnacentral:ncRNA from 2 species